AUGCGGGCGGGCGCGACCCGGGGCUCGAGACUCCGCCUCUCUGGGCCUCGGCCUCCUCACCGGCCAAGGCGGCGCCCGGGGCACCCCCGCGGGGCUCCAAGGCCACGAGCAGCUUGUAAAACCCAAGUCCUGGUGGCCUCGAGUCUACAUUCCUGCCUGACAGCUGUUGCUGGAGAUGAUUAUGGAAAGCCUAUUGAACUAACAGGCCCUCUCAGGGUCCCCGUGGAUCCCCUCCUGCCUCAUCCUUGGGCUUACCUGUCAGAGCCUCCAGGUGGCGCUGUGAUUCCAGGAGCUGACAUUUUCAUUUCCUCUUUGCAACCUCUCAGGAACUGUCUACACUCUGAAAAACAACAUUACACAAAAUCAAGAGAGGUUUCUCUUUGGGACAAAAUACAAUCAUUUCUCACUAGUUUGAAUUCUUGCCUUAAUUUUUACUGGGCAAAAAGCAAAGCAUUUUCCAAAGCCCUCAAAUGUAUACAUUGGGUUUGGGCCUUUAUAAGAUAGACCAUUAACGAGUCUGUUUAUUUCAAGGGUACAUGCUUAUAGCAAUUUUGAUAUUGAGAAACAAGUCAGAACUUGUUUAUAAGUAACAAUCAUAACAUAUCUUCAAAUUAAAAUAUAAAUUCCCUACUGUGAUUUUUUUUUAAUAUUUGUUUAUUCAUGAGAGAGGCAGAGACACAGGCAGAAGGAGAAGCAGGCUCCCCAUGGGGAGCCCGAUGUGGGACUCGAUCCCAGGACCUUGGGAUCAUGCCCUGAGCUAAAGGCAGAUGCUCAGCCACUGAGCCACCCAGGCAUCCUCGGUGUGAUUCAUUUAAUAAGAAUCUCAUUUAUAACUAGCACGGAGCCAGGCAAACUCUUCACCAUAGAUGCUGCUCAUAAAAAGAUGUUUUAUGCUGGGAUCCCUGGGUGGUGCUGGGAUCCCUGGGUGGCGCAGCAGUUUAGUGCCUGCCUUUGGCCCAGGGCGCGAUCCUAGAGACUCGGGAUCGAGUCCCACGUCGGGCUCCCGGUGCAUGGAGCCUGCUUCUCCCUCUGCCUGUGUCUCUGCCUCUCUCUCUCUCUCUCUCUCUCUCUCUGUGACUAUCAUAAAUAAAAAAUAAUAAAAAAAGAUGUUUUAUGGUAAA
rnacentral:lncRNA from 12 species